AAGUUGUUGAGAUGAGGUGUAAAUAGAUAUAUUUUGGUUUGGAUUUAUAAUUGCAAAUUUUGGCUGACACAACCCUAUUCAGACCCUUGUAAAUCAGUUUGAAUCAAGUGAACUUGAUUAUAGGAUGAUUUUACUUGUUUAUGAGAUGAUUUUGAAUGGGCUAUGAAUCUACCAAUGGUAUGUAGUUGUCAAAGUUCAUUUAUUAUUGAGUAUUAUUGUUCAUUUACUGCAUUUAACUUGGCACAAAUACCUGCAAAUGUCCACAGACACCUUGACACGAAUGCUGGUAACAACUUGUCAUGGAUUGUGAUUAUAUAAACUUCAGCUCCAUACUUUAUCAUAUCUUAAUUUGUAGACAGAUUUUCUAUCAGAUCCAUUGCUUCAUAUAAAUGAUUGUUUUCAGGUAUGUUUCUUACGUCGUUGGUAUUUUAAUUCCACAGAAUUAUAGACACAUUUUGGAUAGCAAUGCAGCAAUGCCUAAGAGAUUUAAGUGCAGAAAAGGAAGCAAUGCAAGUGCUCUGUGGAGGUGAUCUCCUUCCGCAAUGGCACCGUAAGAGGGGCCUGAGGAGACAUCAAGCUUGCAUAUAUGGUACCACUCUCACUCUCUCUUCUUCUCAUCCUCUAUCUUACUCUCUCCCUCUUUGUUUGAUAGCAAGACAGUUAAAUGAGAAGAAAAUCACAUAACAAUCACAUGAUCCUAUUACUCGGCGCCAAUAGCCUUGCCAUCCCCUAUCUUACCCCUUGCACGUGACAGUCACCUGAUGUUUAGAAUGGUUACAUUGUCAAAAAAUUAAUUGAAAGUUAAGGUGCUUAACGAAAAUUUUCAAGGGGUUGUAUGUGCAAAAGGAUCAAAGCCUAUGGGUGUAGUUGUAGCUUUUACUCUAUUCUUUUAUCAAUACUUGUCGUUCACUUGUAAUUUUGUUAGAAAAAAUGCCCAAAUCUUUACCUUCACCACUGCCAAUUGUUGUGGCCAUCUCCUUUUUCCACCACCCUCCACCACCGUGACCUCGUCCUUUGCACCAAUACUGCGACUCCACCGUCUUCUUGCUCUGUUGUUUUUGAUGGCCAUGAACACACCCCUUCCCUCCUCAUUUUUCAGCCAUCUUCCCAACCCCCUCCUCUAUUCAUUGGCAUGACCACAACUCCUUACUCCACCCACUGCUGACAGUCUCCCCUCCUCGCUUUGCGACAUGUUGCCGCCAAGAUACCUGAAAACCAAUAACACUAGUUUGAGGAAAAAAGAGCUUACUAAUAAGAUGAAGACAAUGUGAUAUGUCUAGGGCACCAUCCUUAAUGGGAUGAGAUAUGUAUAUUAUAUUAUAUAGAAUCUUUACAAGGGACUAGUUAUACAAUUAUAGGCACAACUAUAGUGAUAUGACAAAGAUAUGCCAUAAUCACAAAGAUUGGUCAACUGUACAACAUCAUAAGGAAUUACAUAUCAUGAUUUGUUUCCUUGCAUACCAUUAUUUAUUUCCUUUAGAAUAGGAGCAAAUCUUGGUAGGAUCAAUGGGUGUGCUUUGUGAACAAAUCUGGUGGUGUUAAUAGGUGAUCUGCUAUUAUGACCCCUCAAGUGAAAUCAAACACAAUGAUGUUGAGCUUGGAUUGAAGUUGAGUGAACUAUGUUGUGGUGAGACCCUUGAUAAAUAUAUCAGUUAAUUGAUCAAUUGUACCAACAGAGUGAACCUGAAUAUCACGACAUAUAAUUGGCUUUUGAACAAAGUCAUAGUCCACUUCGAUAUAUUUUGUACUAUCAUGAUAAAUUGGACUAGAAGCAAGAUAUGUAGAACUAAUGUUGUCACAAUAAAAAGUUAGUGGUGAAGAGAGGAAGACACAAAGAUCUUUCAAUAACAUGCGGAUCGAUGACAAUUUAGCUGCGGUGUGAACCAAGGAGUGAUAUUUAGAUGGAAUACUAGAUGGGCAAUAGUAGCCUGUUUCUUGGCACUCCAGAAUAUUAAGUUGAGACUAAAGAGCACACAACAAACACUAGUGGAUUGAUUAUCUAGAUCACCAACCUAGUUAACAUCAAGGUAUGCUUUUAAUUAAGUAGAACUAUAAGAAAAGUAUAACCUAUGUGUAAUGGAGCUCUUGAGAUAGUGCAAAAUGCACUUCACAACGGCCUAGCAAACUAUGCAUGAAGCAUGCAUAUAUUGGCUAACUUGGUUGACCCACAAAUGCAAUGUCAGAUCUUGUGAAAGUUGAGUAUUGAAGAGCCCCAAUGGUACUUACUAUAUUUAGUAGGAUCUGGCAAGGGAUUGCCUUCAUGAAUGGAGAGUAUAGAGCUUUGAGUUACUGGAGAACUCAACAGUUUAGCUCCGACCAUUUUUGUCUUGUGAAGA
rnacentral:lncRNA from 1 species